UACGUAUGGUGCAAGCGUUAUCCGGAUUUACUGGGCGUAAAGGGAGCGCAGGCGGUGCGCCAAGUCUGAUGUGAAACCCCGGGGCUCAACCCCGGGCAUGCAUUGGAAACUGGCGGGCUGGAGUGCCGGAGAGGUAAGCGGAAUUCCUAGUGUAGCGAUGAAAUGCGUAGAUAUUAGGAGGAACACCAGUGGCGAAGGCGGCUUACCGGACGGCAACUGACGCUGAGGCUCGAAAGCGUGGGGAGCAAACAGG
rnacentral:rRNA from 1 species